GGCUCUCUCGGUUCACUCCCGGGAAUAUACCGAUAAGAGAAGCGGCGUCUCAUCGCAGUUUUCCCUUUAAGAGUCAAAUAUGGGACAAUCACUUUGCUGUAUUCAAGUGGACCAGUCAACCGUAGCCAUCAAGGAGACCUUUGGAAAGUUUGAUGGUGUGCUUGAGCCUGGUUGUCACUUCUUGCCUUGGUGUUUUGGGAGUCAGUUAGCUGGGAACCUUUCAUUGCGUGUGAAGCAACUUGAUGUUCGAUGUGAAACAAAGACUAAGGACAAUGUCUUUGUCACUGUGGUUGCAUCCAUUCAAUAUCGUGCUUUGGCAGACAAAGCUGCUGAUGCUUUCUAUAAACUCAGCAACACCAGGGAGCAGAUUCAAGCCUACGUUUUUGAUGUUAUCAGGGCAAGUGUUCCAAAGUUGGACUUGGACUCCACCUUUGAGCAAAAGAAUGAAAUAGCGAAAUCUGUGGAAGAAGAGCUUGAAAAGGCAAUGUCAGCAUAUGGUUAUGAGAUUGUCCAAACACUUAUUGUGGAUAUUGAACCAGACGAGCAUGUAAAGAGAGCAAUGAAUGAAAUAAAUGCAGCUGCUAGAUUGAGAGUGGCAGCAAAUGAGAAGGCUGAAGCAGAGAAGAUAUUACAGAUCAAGCGAGCUGAGGGAGAUGCAGAGUCCAAAUAUCUGGCGGGGCUUGGUAUAGCUCGACAGCGGCAGGCCAUUGUAGAUGGAUUGAGGGACAGCGUACUGGCCUUCUCUACGAAUGUGCCAGGGACAACAGCGAAGGAUGUAAUGGACAUGGUACUGGUGACACAGUACUUUGAUACGAUGAAGGAGAUUGGAUCAUCAUCAAAGUCUUCUUCUGUUUUCAUCCCACACGGGCCUGGAGCUGUGAAAGAUGUUGCUUCGCAGAUUAGGGUAGGUCUCCUUCAGGCUAACUCCACUCAGCUGUAAGGUCUAUGGUUUGCCGGAAUGGAUAGAUUUCUACUUGGUAGUGUAUAUUGCUGUUAUAGGAGGUUGUUAAAAAUCUGUGUUAAUUGCAUCUUUUUGCCUUGUAUUCGUGAUAUCCUGGCCCAAGCCCUUGGAAGCCUGAUUCUAAGGUGCAUGUAAUAUUGUGUGUAUAUUUUGGUGGAAUAAUUAAUAUAUGUGUAUUUUAAAAUACACAUCUAUAAUGUUAUAACUUUCAUCUUAUUAACCAUAUGUUUGAAUAUUAAUAC